CCCUCCCCUAAAUUUCCUUCCUCCCCUCUCUUAUGGGAUAUAUGGUGGGAUAUCUCUCCGUCAGGGGUGACCAAUUCUCGGAAGGAAGAAGAGACAACCAAUAGUGCUCACUGUAUAGUGGUGAUGGUAUAAAUUAAAAAAAAACGUACUUACAAAUAGAGAGCAGGCGGACUGCUCUAUGAUGUCAGCGUAAGUGGAUUGAUCCCCACUUAAGGAUUUCUUGGGGUACUGGAGUCUUCCAAUUUGUUGGUGCAACCAAUAAAUGGUUUAAAAAUAAUAAAAUUAUAUCAUAAAAUGAUAUAAAAUAAAUAUAAUAAUAAUUAAAAAGCCAGGGUAAAAAUAAAAUAAAAG